ensembl:lncRNA
CUGGUACAGAGUCAAUGUGGAGGCUAUAUACAGGGGUACUGGUACAGAGUCAAUGUGGAGGCUAUAUACAGGGGGUACUGGUACCGAGUCAAUGUGGAGGCUAUAUACAGGGGGUACUGGUACAGAGUCAAUGUGGAGGCUAUAUACAGGGGGUACAGGUACAGAGUCAAUGUGGAGGCUAUAUACAGGGGGUACAGGUACAGAGUCAAUGUGGAGGCUAUAUACAGGGGGUACUGGUACAGAGUCAAUGUGGAGGCUAUAUACAGGGGGUACUGGUACAGAGACAAUGUGGAGGCUAUAUACAAGGGGUACCGGUACAGAGUCAAUGUGGAGGCUAUAUACAGGGGGUACAGGUACAGAGUCAAUGUGGAGACUAUAUACAGGGGGUACAGGUACAGAGACAAUUUGGAGGCUAUAUACAGGGGGUACAGGUACAGAGACAAUGUGGAGGCUAUAUACAGGGGGUACCGGUACAGAGUCAAUGUGGAGGCUAUAUACAGGGGGUACCGGUACAGAGUCAAUGUGGAGGCUAUAUACAGGGGGUACAGGUACAGAGUCAAUGUGGAGGCGACAUACAGGGGGUACUGGUACAGAGUCAAUGUGGAGUCUAUAUACACGGGGUACAGAGUCAAUGUGGAGGCUAUAUACAGGG